GUUUGAUCCUGGCUCAGGAUGAACGCUGGCGGUCUGCUUAACACAUGCAAGUCGAACGGUAACAGGUCUUCGGAUGCUGACGAGUGGCGAACGGGUGAGUAAUACAUCGGAACGUAUCCUGGAGUGGGGGAUAGCCCGGCGAAAGCCGGAUUAAUACCGCAUACGCUCUGAGGAGGAAAGCGGGGGACCUUCGGGCCUCGCGCUCAAGGGGCGGCCGAUGGCGGAUUAGG
rnacentral:rRNA from 1 species